AGAGUUUGAUUAUGGCUCAGGACGAACGCUGGCGGCGUGCUUAACACAUGCAAGUCGAACGGAAAGGCCCUGCUUUUGUGGGGUGCUCGAGUGGCGAACGGGUGAGUAACACGUGAGUAACCUGCCCUUGACUUUGGGAUAACUUCAGGAAACUGGGGCUAAUACCGGAUAGGAGCUCCUGCUGCAUGGUGGGGGUUGGAAAGUUUCGGCGGUUGGGGAUGGACUCGCGGCUUAUCAGCUUGUUGGUGGGGUAGUGGCUUACCAAGGCUUUGACGGGUAGCCGGCCUGAGAGGGUGACCGGCCACAUUGGGACUGAGAUACGGCCCAGACUCCUACGGGAGGCAGCAGUGGGGAAUAUUGCACAAUGGGCGGAAGCCUGAUGCAGCAACGCCGCGUGCGGGAUGACGGCCUUCGGGUUGUAAACCGCUUUCGCCUGUGACGAAGCGUGAGUGACGGUAAUGGGUAAAGAAGCACCGGCUAACUACGUGCCAGCAGCCGCGGUGAUACGUAGGGUGCGAGCGUUGUCCGGAUUUAUUGGGCGUAAAGGGCUCGUAGGUGGUUGAUCGCGUCGGAAGUGUAAUCUUGGGGCUUAACCCUGAGCGUGCUUUCGAUACGGGUUGACUUGAGGAAGGUAGGGGAGAAUGGAAUUCCUGGUGGAGCGGUGGAAUGCGCAGAUAUCAGGAGGAACACCAGUGGCGAAGGCGGUUCUCUGGGCCUUUCCUGACGCUGAGGAGCGAAAGCGUGGGGAGCGAACAGGCUUAGAUACCCUGGUAGUCCACGCUGUAAACGGUGGGUACUAGGUGUGGGGUCCAUUCCACGGGUUCCGUGCCGUAGCUAACGCUUUAAGUACCCCGCCUGGGGAGUACGGCCGCAAGGCUAAAACUCAAAGGAAUUGACGGGGCCCCGCACAAGCGGCGGAGCAUGCGGAUUAAUUCGAUGCAACGCGUAGAACCUUACCUGGGUUUGACAUGGAUCGGGAGUGCUCAGAGAUGGGUGUGCCUCUUUUGGGGUCGGUUCACAGGUGGUGCAUGGCUGUCGUCAGCUCGUGUCGUGAGAUGUUGGGUUAAGUCCCGCAACGAGCGCAACCCUUGUUCACUGUUGCCAGCACGUUAUGGUGGGGACUCAGUGGAGACCGCCGGGGUCAACUCGGAGGAAGGUGGGGAUGACGUCAAGUCAUCAUGCCCCUUAUGUCCAGGGCUUCACGCAUGCUACAAUGGCUGGUACAGAGAGUGGCGAGCCUGUGAGGGUGAGCGAAUCUCGGAAAGCCGGUCUCAGUUCGGAUUGGGGUCUGCAACUCGACCUCAUGAAGUCGGAGUCGCUAGUAAUCGCAGAUCAGCAACGCUGCGGUGAAUACGUUCCCGGGGCUUGUACACACCGCCCGUCAAGUCAUGAAAGUUGGUAACACCCGAAGCCGGUGGCCUAACCGUUGUGGGGGAGCCGUCGAAGGUGGGACUGGUGAUUAGGACUAAGUCGUAACAAGGUAUCC
rnacentral:rRNA from 1 species